GAGUUUGAUCCUGGCUCAGAACGAACGCUGGCGGCAUGCCUAACACAUGCAAGUCGAACGAGACCUUCGGGUCUAGUGGCGCACGGGUGCGUAACGCGUGGGAAUCUGCCCUUGGGUUCGGAAUAACAGUGAGAAAUUACUGCUAAUACCGGAUGAUGUCUUCUGACCAAAGAUUUAUCGCCCAGAGAUUCGGAUGGAUGAGUGACAGGUGCUGCAUGGCUGUCGUCAGCUCGUGUCGUGAGAUGUUGGGUUAAGUCCCGCAACGAGCGCAACCCUCGUCCUUAGUUGCCAUCAUUUAGUUGGGCACUUUAAGGAAACUGCCGGUGAUAAGCCGGAGGAAGGUGGGGAUGACGUCAAGUCCUCAUGGCCCUUACACGCUGGGCUACACACGUGCUACAAUGGCGGUGACAGUGGGCAGCAAGCACGCGAGUGUGAGCUAAUCUCCAAAAGCCGUCUCAGUUCGGAUUGUUCUCUGCAACUCGAGAGCAUGAAGGCGGAAUCGCUAGUAAUCGCGGAUCAGCAUGCCGCGGUGAAUACGUUCCCAGGCCUUGUACACACCGCCCGUCACACCAUGGGAGUUGGGUUCACCCGAAGGCGUUGCGCUAACUCGCAAGAGAGGCAGGCGACCACGGUGGGCUUAGCGACUGGGGUGAAGUCGUAACAAGGUAGCCGUAGGGGAACCUGCGGCUGGAUCACCUCCUUUCU
rnacentral:rRNA from 1 species